UGGGAUAGAGUCUACCUUAAUCGUUGUCCU
rnacentral:piRNA from 1 species